UCUUAUGGAUAAGCAAAGAAAGCGGUUUUUUGAGAUGGAAUCUACUUCUGGUGAGUAUGCUGUGAA
rnacentral:pre_miRNA from 1 species